rnacentral:rRNA from 1 species
UACGUAGGGUGCGAGCGUUGUCCGGAAUUAUUGGGCGUAAAGGGCUCGUAGGCGGUCCGUCACGUCGGGAGUGAAAACUCGGAGCUCAACUCCGAGCCUGCUUCCGAUACGGGCAGACUAGAGGUAGGCAGGGGAGAGCGGAACUCCUGGUGUAGCGGUGGAAUGCGCAGAUAUCAGGAGGAACACCAAUAGCGAAGGCAGCUCGCUGGGACGUAACUGACACUGAGGCGCGAAAGCUAGGGGAGCAAACGGG